UACGGAGGGGGCUAGCGUUGUUCGGAUUUACUGGGCGUAAAGGGCGCGUAGGCGGCCACCGCAAGUCAAUUGUGAAAUCUCCGGGCUUAACUCGGAAAGGUCAACUGAUACUGCGGGGCUAGAGUGCGGAAGGGGCAACUGGAAUUCUCGGUGUAGCGGUGAAAUGCGUAGAUAUCGAGAGGAACACCUGCGGCGAAGGCGGGUUGCUGGGCCGACACUGACGCUGAUGCGCGAAAGCCAGGGGAGCGAACGGG
rnacentral:rRNA from 1 species